rnacentral:misc_RNA from 1 species
GAUGAAGAACGUAGUGAAAUGCGAUACGUAAUGUGAAUUGCAGAAUUCAGUGAAUCAUCGAAUCUUUGAACGCAUAUUGCGCUCUUUGGUAUUCCGAAGAGCAUGCUUGUUUGAGUAUCAGUAAACACCUCAAAAGAUUUUCAUUUUUGAAAUGAUUUUGGACUUGAGCAAUCCCAACACCAGUCUUCACGGAUCGGCGGAGGGUUGCUUGAAAUGCAGGUGCAGCUGGACAUUCUCCUGAGCUAAAAGCAUAUCUAUUUAGUCCCGUCAAACGGAUUAUUACUUUUGCUGCAGCUAACAUAAAGGGAGUUUGACCAUUUUGGCUGACUGAUGCAGGAUUUCACAAGGGUCGGUAAAACGAUUUUUGUAAAACUCGAUCUCAAAUCAAGUAAGACUACCCGCUGAACUUAAGCAUAUCAAUAAGCGGAGGA